UACUUGCUCCCUGAUGUUAGCGGCGGACGGGUGAGUAACACGUGGGUAACCUGCCUGUAAGACUGGGAUAACUCCGGGAAACCGGGGCUAAUACCGGAUGGUUGUCUGAACCGCAUGGUUCAGACAUAAAAGGUGGCUUCGGCUACCACUUACAGAUGGACCCGCGGCGCAUUAGCUAGUUGGUGAGGUAACGGCUCACCAAGGCGACGAUGCGUAGCCGACCUGAGAGGGUGAUCGGCCACACUGGGACUGAGACACGGCCCAGACUCCUACGGGAGGCAGCAGUAGGGAAUCUUCCGCAAUGGACGAAAGUCUGACGGAGCAACGCCGCGUGAGUGAUGAAGGUUUUCGGAUCGUAAAGCUCUGUUGUUAGGGAAGAACAAGUGCCGUUCAAAUAGGGCGGCACCUUGACGGUACCUAACCAGAAAGCCACGGCUAACUACGUGCCAGCAGCCGCGGUAAUACGUAGGUGGCAAGCGUUGUCCGGAAUUAUUGGGCGUAAAGGGCUCGCAGGCGGUUUCUUAAGUCUGAUGUGAAAGCCCCCGGCUCAACCGGGGAGGGUCAUUGGAAACUGGGGAACUUGAGUGCAGAAGAGGAGAGUGGAAUUCCACGUGUAGCGGUGAAAUGCGUAGAGAUGUGGAGGAACACCAGUGGCGAAGGCGACUCUCUGGUCUGUAACUGACGCUGAGGAGCGAAAGCGUGGGGAGCGAACAGGAUUAGAUACCCUGGUAGUCCACGCCGUAAACGAUGAGUGCUAAGUGUUAGGGGGGUUUCCGCCCCUUAGUGCUGCAGCUAACGCAUUAAGCACUCCGCCUGGGGAGUACGGUCGCAAGACUGAUACUCA
rnacentral:rRNA from 1 species